rnacentral:rRNA from 1 species
GAGAACUGAGGGACGACAGGAAAGGGAAUGAGUAGAGGGCAGGAGGUGAUGGUAAGUAACUGGAGUAAAGCGUGCGUAGGCGGUGCGGAAAGAAAGAUGUGAAAUCGCAGAGCUAAACUGCGGAACUGCAUUGUUGACUACCGGGCUAGAGUGUGUCAGAGGGAGGUGGAAUUCCGCGUGUAGCAGUGAAAUGCGUAGAUAUGCGGGGGAACACCGAUGGCGAAGGCAGCCUCCUGGGAUAACACUGACGCUCAUGCACGAAAGCGUGGGGAGCAAACAGGAUUAGAUACCGGAGUAGUC